CCCCCUCCCCCCAACAAAUAGACACUUUUUUUUCCACCCAUGCAGUGCUGUUAAGAGGCUGAAAAAUGAACAGGGUAAAUUGAAUUGUGCAAACUAGACAAUGAAACUAGAUGUCCAGAUGUGCCCAUGUGGUACUGAGGAAGAAAUGUCCAGAUGUGCCCAUGAGGUGCCCCUGUUCUGUCAACUAUGUGAUGAAGACUUCAUCUAAGUAGACCACCCAAUCUGGAAAGCCCUGACAGAGAGUCUUCAUGGUUUAUUGGUAAAUGAAACAUGCUGAUGAUAUGCCAAAAGAUAUUAUGAUGUACAGUACCGACAGACCCUUGUGAGUGUUGAAUGGAACUCUGUAGUGCUUUGAUGAGUUAUCCAUUUUCAACUGCUGAUGAGUCAGUCCCAAUCAAUAACAUGACUCGCCACCUACUAAUUUGCUGAAGAGGUUAUAGCUCACGGGAGUAAGGUACUUGUCCAGUAUUUGCCCAGCUUUGCCAUUUUCAUUAUUGUUAGUUUGUAGUUGCUGCACAGCCAACCAGUCUGGCUACAACUGGAAGGACAGAUAGAGCAAACUCUGAAAAAUGUCGAGGAUUGUAUUUCCAGGUUUUAUGAUCUAUAUACUUCAGCCUCUUCUUUGUCUUUCACCAUGUAGGACGCUGGUCUAGCCCUGAAGAAAUGUAGCCUUUCUUAGAGAUCUAAGUAAAUUUGAGCUUGCGUGCCCAGCUCAUUUUCAAAAACUGUCACUAAUGGACACAGGAAAUCUUUCAUCCCCACUGCAAUAUCUCUUUCAAACAAUGUACUUAAUGUAACAGUGUUUCACUGACUUCUUUGUUGUUAAACUCUUGUCCAUCAUUGUGUUAUGUAGGGAGUGUGUUGCAAAACAAAUUUCCCCAAUGUAACAGUAAAGCUUGAAUUGAAUUGAAUUUCUCCAAGAUUUGCACUCCAUGAAGCACUCAUGUGCAGCCCUUUUUUUUUCAGCAGCUAAUCCUGGUUCAAAAGUUUUAGCCCUUCUUCCUCUAUGACCAAAACUGGUAAUAUUGCUGUUUGUGCCAUAAAACACAAAGGACAACUGAUUGUUUCAAAGGACCCUUUGAUCAACUGAACUAGCCUGAAUAUGAAUUUAAUUGGGUGUUGCUGGUUUAGUAUUCAUGGCUAGGUCUGAGGUUAUAAAGAAUGCAUGCUCACUUACAACUGUUUAGAAGCACCAGUUUCAAUGACUGUCUUCAGGACUUCGCCAUUCUUUGGAUAUAGUAACUAGCUGUGUCAGCAUGCAUAUGCUACAAAGGAACAAGUAAAGUUUCAUUCCAUGUUGAAAGGGAAGGAAAACAGACAUAACAUAACGUUUUGGCUAUGAAGCCUUCUUCAGGUGUGACUGAAAUAUUGUUUUUAAUUUAUUUGUUUAUCAAAAGAUUAUUGUCUA